AAAUAGUGAGGAAGGGCCUGGGCUCUGUCCUUAAUAAGGAAUCCAAAUGACCCGCCCCUUGACCCGCCCUAGGGUCGGUGUCCAAUCCCCAGAGCUCUUCCCAAGAUAAUUCGUUCCAAGUCAUUAUCUGCUCUGAGUUGAAUCCUUUCAUGCCAAACGUAAUCAUCUGAUUAGUUUAGCCUUUCUGAUGCCCGGGAAUCAAACACUGUCUUCCCGCUUAAUUCAAAGGAGGUUGGAGCAGAUCUACUGGGUGUGAACCAGGGCAGUCCUUGAGGGACGGAGGUGCAGGGAGGCUCCAAAUGGGCUCCCUAGAUUUGCACAGGUGUCGACAGCCACCCAAUGACCACACAGUGUAUUCCAACAAGACUGGGUUUGUUUGGUGUGCUGCAUCAAGGGAAAGCAAAUAACACAGGAAAAUAAGCAUGUCAUAGGGAGCUGAUUUUAGGAGUUGACCAGGGGAGUCUAAGGAGUGUUUAGGGAGUAGGGGCUGGUUUUCCAAAACGGGGCCAUUUGGUGAUGAUCCUGGCCACUUUAUCUGGGAGGUAGGGGAAUUAAUGUGAUCUUGAUUGCAGACUGUUGAAUCUCUCUGGUUUCAAACAUAGAGUAAACUUUCUACAUCUUCUUGCAUGACCAUCACUGAGCCAUCUUGACUGGUUAAGAUAUUUUGCAGGAGUUCUUUAUGUUUGAUAGGGAAGAUUCAACCAUGCCUGUCAGCUCCCAACUGCAAGUUCCUUGGUGCUUUUACACUUAUCAUCCUCCCCUUUGACCAAAGGCAAGGUCAGCCAUCAGGACUCUCAUCUGUGAGCUUCAGAUCUAACCAUUGUCAGAAUCCACUGAUCAUCAGUUUAUCGGGACAUCGCCUGCAUCUACCUACAGUUGGUCUCUCAUGUACAUUUUGUUGCAAAAUAUAAUAGUGAACGUAACCACACAGUAGCAUUUAAGACUGUACAGGGUGCACUAGUCAGAUACAAUACCAGCAAUUACUGGAAAAAAUGACUAUUAAUCCUAUUAAUAGGCUGCAAAGACCAAAGCCUAGAUUUCAAAUCCAGGCCAUGAAAUCAUGUCCGAAAUCCAUCUAAAUCUGGUCUAGAGAGCCAGGUAGAUUUGAGACUUCCGGGAGAAAUCAGAAAACCUCCCAAUUUCCAGAGUUCUCUGAUAUUUGGAACAACUCAAUCACAUAUCUACUGCCUAUACAAAUAUUUGGUUUUACCAGGCCCCUCCAUCACACAGAAAUAUUUCAUUUUUUCAUCUCCUAUUUGCUGAGUGAAAGAGAACAAUUCAACCACAAGAGCUGAUUUAGCUUCUUGGAGGUCAUAUGCUAACCUAAAUUUAGAUUGGUGAUGGCAUAGAAUACUUGAAAACUUCUACUUUGUAUUUUUAAAUAUGAACACUUAACAAGAAGCAUUAACAUUAUAAAACGAGAUUCUAAAAUAUCUGUACAAAGCAUGGAUAGUUCCCUAAAACAGCUCAAAUCAUCAGGAACACACCCUACUCAACUAAGAGAAGGAGAGUUGUCAUCAGAGUUAAGAAGGCCAUUAACGAAUACUCAGGGACUUCAAUUUACCCUGUAAAAUACAUUAUGAAUGUCAAUAAUUAAUAAUUGAUAAUGAUUAGUUUUCUGUUUUAAAAUCAAUGUGGGGUGCGGUGUCGGUGUCGGCAGCAUCCCGGUGCCCGGCUGCGAUUGCCGGGAGACUCAGCCUCUGUCUCCUCCCUGUCCCACCCUGGCCGCCCGCGCCAGUGUACUCCGAGCAGUUUGCCUCUGCUUGGCAGCGGAUAAAACCAGGGCUGACGAAAUACGGGAUAUGGUCACCCACUGCCAGCUCUAGCCUUUAAAUACCCGACUCGGGAACCUCCAGGCACUGCGGCUCGGGCCCUGACACCCAUCCAGCGUGCACCGGCGAGCUCCGAAACCGACGUCCCCCGACGCCCCCGAACUCCACUUGGCAGCCUCAGCCCCUGGAAAGUGAUCUCGGCAUCUGAGAGCCAAGAUGCCAGCCCACUUGCUGCAGGAGGAGAUCUCUAGCUCCUAUACCACCACCACCACCACCAUCACAGCGCCUCCCUCCAGGGUCCCGCAGAAUGGAGGAUAUAAGUUGGAGAAGACGCCCCUCUAUUUGGAAGAAGACAUUCGUCCUGAUAUAAAAGAUGAUAUAUAUGACCCCACCUACAAGGAUAAGGAAGGCCCAAGGCCCAAGGUUGAAUAUGUCUGGAGAAACAUCAUCCUGAUGUCUCUGCAACACUUGGGCGCCCUGUAUGGGAUCAUUUUGAUUCCUAUCUGCAAGUUCUACACCUGGCUUUGGGGAUUAUUCUACUAUUUUGUCAGUGCCCUGGGCAUAACAGCAGGAGUUCAUCGCCUGUGGAGCCACCGAACUUAAAAAGCUCGGCCGCCCCUUCGGGUCUUUCUGAUCGUUGCCAACACAAUGGCAUUCCAGAAUGAUGUCUUUUGAAUGGGCUUGUGACCACCAUGCCCACCACAAGUUUUCAGAAACAGAUGCUGAUCCUAAUUCCCGACGUGGCUUUUUCUUCUCUCACGUGGGCUGGCUGCUUGUGCGCAAACACCCAGCUGUCAAAGAGAAGGGCCUUAUGCUGGACUUGUCUGACCUAAAAGCUGAGAAACUGGUGAUGUUCCAGAGGAGGUUCUACAAACCCGGCGUGGUGCUGAUGUGCUUCAUCCUGCCCACACUUGUGCCCUUUUAUUUCUGGGGUGAAACUUUUCAACACAGCUUGUAUGUUGCCACUUUCUUGCUAUAUGCUGUAGUGCUUAAUGCCACCUGGCUAGUGAACAGUGCUGCCUACCUCUACAGAUAUCGUCCUUAUGACAAGAACAUUAGCCCCUGGGAGAAUGUCCUGGUUUCGCUUGGAGCUGUGGGUGAGGGCUUCCACAACUACCACCACUCCUUUCCCUAUGACUACUCUGCCAGUGAGUACCGCUGGCACAUCAACUUAACCACAUUCUUCAUUGAUUGCGUGGCUGCCCUCAGUCUGGCCUAUGACCGGAAGAAAGUCUCCAAGGCCACCAUCUUGGCCAGGAUUAAAAGAACUGGAGAUGGAAGCUACAAGAGUGGCUGAGUUUGGGGUCCCUCAGGUUCUUUUUCAAAGUCAGCCAGGCAGAGGUUUUAUGCCUGUUUAUUAACUACUGAAUAAUGCUACCAGGACGCUAAAGAUGAUGACGUUAACUCGUUCCAGUACAGUAUUCUUUUAAAAUGCGAAAUUAUUGAAAGCCAA